rnacentral:piRNA from 1 species
UGCCAAGUGCCCUGAGACAAGAGUUCCCUCA